rnacentral:rRNA from 1 species
GACGUAGGGCGCGAGCGUUGUCCGGAUUUAUUGGGCGUAAAGAGCUCGUAGGCGGCUUGUCGCGUCGACUGUGAAAUCCCGCGGCUCAACUGCGGGUCUGCAGUCGAUACGGGCAGGCUAGAGUUCGGUAGGGGAGACUGGAAUUCCUGGUGUAGCGGUGAAAUGCGCAGAUAUCAGGAGGAACACCGGUGGCGAAGGCGGGUCUCUGGGCCGAUACUGACACUGAGAAGCGAAAGCGUGGGGAGCGAACAGG